CCUAGACACCACUAAAGAAGAGGUAAUCUUGCAGAGGUCGGUGAAACUGAACCUGAUAUUGGCCGAAUUUGCUGAAAUCAUAGGCUAGUCUAGUAGAUCUAUGGCUGACGUCUGGAUUUCAAUAAUAAUUACUAAUUACUGGAUGUAUCAUGUGCAUUUAACAUUAUUCCUUGAAGAGGACAUGCUGGGUGACUGCUAACAAUGGACAGCACAGACAGCAAUCAAUUACACAAAGGACAUUUUAAUGCAGUUGUAACAUAUGAGAGUGAAAUGGUUAAGAACCCAUCACAUUCAGAUACAAUACAGUGUGGUAUAAAUUCUCCGUAUUUAAACAUGAGUCACACCAACUUUGAUUAUCAAUAUAGCCAGUUGAACCACUUAAUCCCAUCAACGACUACAGUGUCUAAUGAAGCUAAGGAAAUGCCUAUGCAACAAUAUUGGCAGCAUCCACAUAUGAGCAAUGUGAUCAACUGUAGAGGGAACUCAAAGCCAGAAUGUAGCAUACCAGGAAAUAAAAUAUCUGGUAGUGUAAAAUCAGGAAAUGCAAUACCGGAAAAUGCAAUAUCAGAAAGUGCAAUACCAGAAAAUGCAAUAUUAGGAAAUGCAAUAACAGAAAGUGCAAUGCAUAGAAAUGGUCCAUCAAACAUGUAUCAAGGUCACUCUGGUUUAAGAAGUGACAUUUAUGGCAAUCAACAGAUCAAUUAUAAAGUUCAAACUUAUGAUAGAGACUAUGUAUCUCCUGGGAUACAACAGUCUAACAAACAACAUCUGACGCAAUUUGGAAAUGUGCCCCAUGACGAAUGUCCUAUUAUCAAACAAGACAAUGAAAGAACUCUUAAUCAAGAUAAUUCUAUGGGCAUUAUAAAGGCCCAACAUUUAGAACACUCAAAUAAUGUAUCUCAUUGUUAUAGAAGUGACAAUAAGCAACCUUCAAUAACCCUGUCUCCACCAUACACAGUGACAUAUGGGGCACACUUGGACACUAGUUUAGGAACAAGUCGCACACCUACAUCUGUGCCCACACAGGCCCCUGUUACAUAUACUGGCAUCAAAAAUGAGCCUGGUUUAUUUAAACCAAAGGACUUCAUUAAUAGCGCACAUACUUGUUAUGAUCCAAAUGUACCAAGCUAUCGUAAUGAAGGGAUUAAUCACAAUUACCUGUCAGUGAAUGGACCUUACAAUCAUUAUAGUCAUACAGGUGAUACUACAAAAUGGUGUGAUAGCAACAAACAACCUGUUCAUGAACAACAUGUGAUUGUUCCCAGCUUCAACCAUUUUAAAAUGUUACAAACAGAAUCAGCUGAUUUAUCAAAGAAGCAAGUAACCUCUGAUCUAGUGACUAAAGUUAGUCCAAGCAAAAGGAAACCUCGAUCACCUGCUAAGCCAAAACCUGAUUUAAACAUAGAUCCUAAUUUUACAAUACAUAGUCCAUUGGCAUCUUAUGUACUACAAGAGGAGCAUAGCAAUGUUAUUGUUGAACAGUUUCUGAGGUCUGAGUUUACACUGUGUGAGGCCCUCUCAAAAAUAGCAUUCAAACAUCCAGUGGCUUACAUUUAUAACCCACUGAAUUAUGCCAUAAGAACCCAUGUUGACUUCAUACAGAAAUAUUGCACAACUGAAAAACAGAUUUUGCUACUGGGAAUGAAUCCAGGUCCAUGGGGUAUGUCUCAAAAUGGGGUGCCUUUUGGAGAAGGUGAUAUUGUAAGAGACUGGCUAAAGGUGACAGGGAGUGUUGGUAAGCCACUUAGAGAACACCCACAAAGACCUAUACAUGGACUAGAUUCUACCAGGAAAGAGGUCAGUGGUACCAGGUUCUGGCAGUUAAUUUGUGAGUUAUGUAUCAACCCUCAAAACUUUUUUGCGAACUGCUUCGUGCACAACAUGUGUCCUUUGGCUUUUAUGACACAUUCCGGUAAAAAUGUCACACCCCCUCAGCUUGGAAAAGAACAACUUGCUUCACUCAAUGCUGCUUGCGAUGAGGCAAUAUGCGACAUCAUAAGAAUCCUGAAUGUGAAAUAUGUGAUAGGUGUUGGGAAAUUUGCUGAGAUAAGGGUUAAAAAAGCCCUGUUGUCUAAAGGAAAUAUGCCAACUGGAUUAAGAGUUAGUAGUAUAAUGCACCCAAGUCCGAUUAACCCUGCAGCUAAUAAAGGAUGGGUCAACAUAGCCAAGGGACAGCUAGAAGAAAUGGGGCUGAUACAUAUUAUUACUAACGGUGCUUUGUGUGAAAUGGAGCCUGCAGAAACUACACCUGGAAUUUGAUGAACCUUAUGACUCUGUUUUGUAUGGUGACUGUUGUACAAUGUUCUUGGAUUGUGGAGAGUGCCGGUCUGUCUGUUCCUGAGUUUGUGGAAAUGACCAUCAAAAGAGGAAGCAAGAGCAUGGGGUGAUAGCUUUGAGAAGCUCCUAGACAAUGAUUUUGGUCGUGAUCUCUUUAAGAAGUUCCUGAAGUCUGAAUACAGUGAAGACAAUCUUUUGUUCUGGGAAGCAUGUAUGGCACUGAAGGAGGAAACUGACGAAGGUGCAAUACAUGAAGAAGCUAAACUUAUUUAUAAAAAAUAUAUAUCCCUUACUUCACCUAAUGAGGUAAAUAUUAAUGCCAAUAUUAGGAGAAAAAUAGACUCAAAUAUACAUGCUCCAACACUGAACAUAUUUGAUGAAGCAAAAGCAUGGAUUGGACUGCUUAUGGAGACAGACUCAUUUCCAAGAUUCAUCAAAUCAAAUCUAUUCAAAAGUUUUAUAUCAAGUCAUUUUUCUGAAGAUUCUAAUAGCUCUAAAUGAAUAGAGCCUGUCCAAUGAGUUGUGUUUUGUCUUAUUUAAAUUUAGAAUUGAGAAAGAUCAAUUCUGAUACUGUAAAUUGCUUUAUUUUGACAGCCAUUUUAAUAUGGCGGAUUGAUAAAAACC
rnacentral:misc_RNA from 1 species